rnacentral:rRNA from 2 species
ACGGGUGAGUAAUGCCUAGGAAUCUGCCUGGUAGUGGGGGAUAACGCUCGGAAACGGACGCUAAUACCGCAUACGUCCUACGGGAGAAAGCAGGGGACCUUCGGGCCUUGCGCUAUCAGAUGAGCCUAGGUCGGAUUAGCUAGUUGGUGAGGUAAUGGCUCACCAAGGCGACGAUCCGUAACUGGUCUGAGAGGAUGAUCAGUCACACUGGAACUGAGACACGGUCCAGACUCCUACGGGAGGCAGCAGUGGGGAAUAUUGGACAAUGGGCGAAAGCCUGAUCCAGCCAUGCCGCGUGUGUGAAGAAGGUCUUCGGAUUGUAAAGCACUUUAAGUUGGGAGGAAGGGCAUUAACCUAAUACGUUAGUGUUUUGACGUUACCGACAGAAUAAGCACCGGCUAACUCUGUGCCAGCAGCCGCGGUAAUACAGAGGGUGCAAGCGUUAAUCGGAAUUACUGGGCGUAAAGCGCGCGUAGGUGGUUCGUUAAGUUGGAUGUGAAAGCCCCGGGCUCAACCUGGGAACUGCAUUCAAAACUGUCGAGCUAGAGUAUGGUAGAGGGUGGUGGAAUUUCCUGUGUAGCGGUG